GACUUUCCUGCCCAGGCUGGCUUUGAACUACGAUUUUCAUAUCUCAGCCUCCUGAGUAGCUAGAAUUACAGGCCUGAGCCACUGGUGCUGGGAUGCAAUUCUUUCUUAGAAGCAUUUCAUACUCUUCAUCAUCUAAGUGAUACCUAGAAAUUCUGAGUUCUUGCCUAUUGCUGUCUAAACUCCAAUCUCACAAGUGUUCAGUGAUCAAGUUCAGGUAACCCAUCUCCAGGUAUCUCUUUCUCUACAAAUCCAAGAGUGGUAUUCAGAACCCAAGAACAAAAAUGAGAGUAGGUUCUCAAAGUAAAAUGGCACCUUUCAGCAUGGAACCUUACCUUACACCUCAGUCUAAAAAGACCAUUCUCACCAGCUUACUAUAUCCUACUUUCAAGCUUCUUUUUGAAGUGCUGCUUGCCUCUCCUUCGAAAGCCAUUUCCCAAAUCCACCUCUUCUUUGAAGCAUUCCUUGACCAAUGUACUGCAAACAGUUCCCUCCCACUUCUGUAAUGGACUUACUGAAUUGUAGUUUGUUUCCCAAUAAACAAAUAUGGGUAGGAAAAACUACCAUUCAGCUCUGAUAAUGGUAUUGGCAAUAUAUGGUCCAUUGUCAAGACGCUAAGUGUCCGACUAUCUCUCGCUCUGCUGCCUCUUAUUUAUUA